CAUUAUAUGCAUUUAUUAGUAUCAUUAUGGUGCAUUCUUACUUAACAUUCUUAUCAUGCAUCAAUAGUGAAACACACUACACUUUGGCAUGAAGGCGACCUAGUCGCUUCGGUAAACACAACCCACCUCUUAACGCGUUCCGAUUGCUUGUAGUCACUUGCAAUCGGCCUCCCGCGGCACCCGUGACCCGGUUUGGCCCGAACUCUUGUGCGACCACCCGAACGGCCACCAAUCCACGAUCCGUCUUUUCCGGAGUUUAUUCCUCGACUCCAAGGUGCUCCGGUUCCGAUCUCAUGAUUUUUAGGCGUCUAUUCUGCGUGCUGCGGCUAUCUGUACCAAGACAGACUGUUUCGUCAAUAACUUCGCAUACACUCGUCGGAUUGUCAAACCGAGCGCACCAACGCGUUCGUUAUACCCCCAAUUAGGUUCGUAUAGGGUCAAUUGAGAUCCAAACCCCAUAUGAGCAAAACCCCUCUUUGGGAUGCCCUAAUAUGACAUAUGCUCAAUAUUCCGGAUUUGAUCUAUCAAAUAAGCAAAAGAGAGCCUGUUUAACACCUAGGAGCUCAACUAGGAGCAUUCGGACCAUUUUUAGGGUAUCUACUUGGAACCCUAACAUUCCACCAUUAGAGCACAUGAAGCUCACAUGGGUUUUCAUGGUGUUUAUGGCCCAACAAUGCUUCUAAACAUGAAAGAAGCUAAAAACCUUAGGUUUAUGGUGAAAAUCCAAACCCUAGAGUUCUACUUGCAAGAGAACUCACCUUUGACUAAGUUCUAGCAAGCUCCUUCUUGUAGGAGAGCUUCAAGCACCUUCACAAC
rnacentral:lncRNA from 1 species